ACUUACUAGUAUUUCAAUCCUGGACAAUUAAUUGAGCUGUUUCCAUUCUUUUGUUAUCUAUUUAAAGGGAAACUAAAAGCUACCUAAGCCCUACAAGCACUGAAGAUAUUAACAGCAUCAAAAUGAAAUUUGUUCCAUUAUAUACAAAAAAGAGAGAUUGAUUUUCCCGAUAUGUAUCAUUAUUUACAGCUGUGUCUAAGUAGCUCCAAAUUAUCCUGUGAAUCAUGGCUCAGAAAUAUUUAUCAGGAAACUUCUAUUCUAUAAAUAGUAGACAAUCUGUUUUUAAAGUAAGAUUUAGGUGAUCCUUGGGUGGCUCAGUAGUUUAGUGCCUGUCUUCGGCCCAGGGCAUAUUCCUGGAGAUCCGGAAUCGAGUCCCGAUCAGGCUCCCUGCAUGGAGCCUGCUUCUCCCUCUGUCUGUGUCUCUGCCUCUCUCUCUGUGUCUCUCAUGACUAAAUAAGUAAAAUAUUAAAAAAA
rnacentral:lncRNA from 12 species